GGGCCAUAGCCCAGGGGUAGAGCAUCUGCUUUUCAUGCAGAAGGUCCCAGCUUCAAUCCCCGGCAUCUCCA